AAUGAACGUUGGCGGCGUGGAUUAGGCAUGCGAGUCGAGCGAGAACCGUAGCAAUACGGGGACAGCGGCGAAAGGGACAGUAACGGGUAGAUUAUCUGCCCUCAGGUUUGGGAUAGCUGCGGGAAACUGCAAGUAAUACCAAAUAAUAUCUCCGGAUCAAAGGUGUGAUUCCGCCUGAGGAUGAGUCUGCCGUCCUAUUAGCUUGUUGGUGGGGUAACGGCCUACCAAGGCAUUGAUGGGUAGCGGGUGUGAGAGCACGACCCGCGUCAUUGGGACGGAGACACUGCCCAGACACCUACGGGUGGCUGCAGUCGAGAAUCUUCGGCAAUGGACGCAAGUCUGACCGAGCGACGCCGCGUGUGGGAUGAAGGCCUUCGGGUUGUAAACCACUGUCAGAGGGGAUGAAAUGCAGGUGGGUACUCCCAUUUGUUUGACAUAGCCUCAGAGGAAGUACGGGCUAAGUUCGUGCCAGCCGCCGCAGUAAUAC
rnacentral:rRNA from 1 species